GUGGGGAAUAUUGGACAAUGGGCGAAAGCCUGAUCCAGCCAUGCCGCGUGUGUGAAGAAGGUCUUCGGAUUGUAAAGCACUUUAAGUUGGGAGGAAGGGCAGUAAGUUAAUACCUUGCUGUUUUGACGUUACCGACAGAAUAAGCACCGGCUAACUUCGUGCCAGCAGCCGCGGUAAUACGAAGGGUGCAAGCGUUAAUCGGAAUUACUGGGCGUAAAGCGCGCGUAGGUGGUUUUGUAAGUUGGAGGUGAAAUCCCCGGGCUCAACCUGGGAACUGCCUCCAAAACUGCAUGACUAGAGUACGGUAGAGGGUAGUGGAAUUUCCUGUGUAGCGGUGAAAUGUGUAGAUAUAGGAAGGAACACCAGUGGCGAAGGCGACUACCUGGACUGAUACUGACACUGAGGUGCGAAAGCGUGGGGAGCAAACAGGAUUAGAAACCCGUGUAGUCC
rnacentral:rRNA from 1 species